GGGUUUAUCCGUUGGUCGGGCUUUUGGGUCUGUACUGGCGUGAUGAAUUCCUACCUUCUGAAUAACCAGCAUGCCAUUAAUUUGGUGCGCCGGGGAAGCAGGACUGUUACCUUGAAAAAAUUAGAGUGUUUAAAGCAGGCUCACGCUUGAAUACAUUAGCAUGGAAUAAUGAAAUAGGACGUUUGAUUCUAUUUUGUUGGUUUCUAGGAUCGACGUA
rnacentral:rRNA from 1 species